CAUCGCCUCUUGACCCCAUAAGAGGUCCAGCCUGCCCAGUGACUCUGUUCAACGGCUGCGGUAUUCUAACCGUGCAAAGGUAGCGUAAUCACUUGUUUUCUAAAUAAAGACCUGUAUGAAAGGCACCACGAGAGCUAAACUGUCUCCUUUUUCCAAUCAGUAAACCUAAUCCCCCUGUGAAAAAGCAGGAAUCUAAAUAUAAGACGAGAAGACCCUGUGGAGCUUAAAACAUUACUCACUUGCCACCAUAUCACAUUCCCCGGUACAUCAUUAAACGGCACUCUGAUCCAAUGUUUUUGGUUGGGGUGACCACGGAGAAAAACUUAUCCUCCGGAAUGAAAGGGAUUCCCUAAGCUAUAAAAUACAACUUUAAGCAUCAAAAAAUUGACAUCCAUUGACCCAAUAAAUUGAUCAAUGAACCAAGUUACCCUAGGGAUAACAGCUCAAUCCGCUUUGAGAGCCCC
rnacentral:rRNA from 1 species